rnacentral:rRNA from 1 species
UCAAGCGAAUAAGCGCACACGGUGGAUGCCUUGGCGGUCAGAGGCGAUGAAGGACGUGGCAGCCUGCGAAAAGUAUCGGGGAGCUGGCAACAAGCUUUGAUCCGGUAAUGUCCGAAUGGGGAAACCCACCCGCUUGCGGGUAUCCUGCAGUGAAUACAUAGCUGCUGGAAGCGAACCUGGUGAACUGAAAUAUCUAAGUAACCAGAGGAAAAGAAAUCAACCGAGAUUCCGUAAGUAGCGACGAGCGAACGCGGACUAGCCCUUAAGCUGAUUUGGUUCUAGGAAAACGCUCUGGAAAGAGCGGCCAUAGAAGGUGAUAGCCCUGUAUCUGAAAGGGCCAUUUCAGUGAAGACGAGUAGGGCGGGGCACGUGAAACCCUGUCUGAACAUGGGGGGACCAUCCUCCAAGGCUAAAUACUACUGACCGACCGAUAGUGAACCAGUACCGUGAGGGAAAGGCGAAAAGAACCCCGGAGAGGGGAGUGAAAUAGAACCUGAAACCGUGUGCGUACAAGCAGUAGGAGCUCCGCAAGGAGUGACUGCGUACCUUUUGUAUAAUGGGUCAGCGACUUACUGUUCGUGGCAAGCUUAACCGUAUAGGGGAGGCGAAGGGAAACCGAGUCUGAUAAGGGCGCAUAGUCGCGGGCAGUAGACCCGAAACCGGGUGAUCUAGUCAUGCCCAGGGUGAAGGUGCGGUAACACGCACUGGAGGCCCGAACCCACUCCCGUUGCAAAGGUAGGGGAUGAGGUGUGAUUAGGAGUGAAAAGCUAAUCGAACCCGGAGAUAGCUGGUUCUCCUCGAAAGCUAUUUAGGUAGCGCCUCAUAUGUAUCCUCUCGGGGGUAGAGCACUGUUAUGGCUAGGGGGUCAUCGCGACUUACCAAACCAUUGCAAACUCCGAAUACCGAGACGGACUGUAUGGGAGACACACGGCGGGUGCUAACGUCCGUCGUGAAAAGGGAAACAACCCAGACCCACAGCUAAGGUCCCAAAUUCACUGCUAAGUGGAAAACCAUGUGGAAAGGCACAGACAGCCAGGAGGUUGGCUUAGAAGCAGCCACCCUUUAAAGAAAGCGUAAUAGCUCACUGGUCGAGUCGGUCUGCGGGGAAGAUUUAACGGGGCUAAGCAGUGAACCGAAGCUUGGGGUGCAUACUUUGUAUGCGCGGUAGAGGAGCGUUCCGUAAGCCGUUGAAGGUGGAUUGAGAAGUCUGCUGGAGGUAUCGGAAGUGCGAAUGCUGACAUGAGUAACGAUAAUGCGGGUGAAAAACCCGCACGCCGAAAGCCCAAGGUUUCCUUGCGCAACGUUAAUCGGCGCAGGGUGAGUCGGCCCCUAAGGCGAGGACGAAAGUCGUAGUCGAUGGGAAGCAGGUUAAUAUUCCUGCACCUCGCGUAAGUGCGAUGGAGGGACGGAGAAGGUUAGGUGUACCAGGCGUUGGUUGUCCUGGGGAAAGGCGGUAGGUUUGGAUCUUUGGCAAAUCCGGGAUCCUUUAAGACCGAGCACCGAGACGAGCCUUUAUGGCGAAGUCACUGAUACCACGCUUCCAGGAAAAGCUCCUAAGCUUCAGCUUACGCAGACCGUACCGUAAACCGACACAGGUGGGUAGGAUGAGAAUUCUCAGGCGCUUGAGAGAACUCGGGUGAAGGAACUAGGCAACAUGGCACCGUAACUUCGGGAGAAGGUGCACCCUUUUUGGUGGCUCGUGCGAGCUAUAGCUGAAGAGGGUCGCAGUAACCAGGCCGCUGCGACUGUUUAUCAAAAACACAGCACUCUGCAAACACGAAAGUGGACGUAUAGGGUGUGACGCCUGCCCGGUGCUGGAAGGUUAAUUGAUGGGGUCAGCCGCAAGGCGAAGCUCUUGAUCGAAGCCCCAGUAAACGGCGGCCGUAACUAUAACGGUCCUAAGGUAGCGAAAUUCCUUGUCGGGUAAGUUCCGACCUGCACGAAUGGCGUAACGACAGCGGCGCUGUCUCCACCCGAGACUCAGUGAAAUUGAAAUCGCUGUGAAGAUGCAGCGUUCCCGUGGCAAGACGGAAAGACCCCGUGAACCUUUACUAUAGCUUUACACUGAACGUUGAGUUCGUCUGUGUAGGAUAGGUGGGAGGCUAUGAAACUGUGGCGCUAGCUGCAGCGGAGCCAUCCUUGAAAUACCACCCUGUCGUGCUUGACGUUCUAACCUGGGCCCAUUAUCUGGGUCGGGGACCGUGUAUGGUGGGUAGUUUGACUGGGGCGGUCUCCUCCUAAAGAGUAACGGAGGAGCUCGAAGGUACGCUCAGCGCGGUCGGACAUCGCGCACUGUGUGCAAAGGCAUAAGCGUGCUUGACUGCAAGAUCGACGGAUCAAGCAGGUAGGAAACUAGGACUUAGUGAUCCGGUGGUUCUGUAUGGAAGGGCCAUCGCUCAACGGAUAAAAGGUACUCCGGGGAUAACAGGCUGAUACCGCCCAAGAGUUCAUAUCGACGGCGGUGUUUGGCACCUCGAUGUCGGCUCAUCACAUCCUGGGGCUGUAGUCGGUCCCAAGGGUAUGGCUGUUCGCCAUUUAAAGUGGUACGCGAGCUGGGUUCAGAACGUCGUGAGACAGUUCGGUCCCUAUCUGCCAUGGGCGUUGGAGAUUUGAGAGGGGCUGCUCCUAGUACGAGAGGACCGGAGUGGACGAACCUCUGGUGUUCCGGUUGUCACGCCAGUGGCAUUGCCGGGUAGCUAUGUUCGGAAGCGAUAACCGCUGAAAGCAUCUAAGCGGGAAGCGCGCCUCAAGAUGAGAUCUCCCGGGGCACAAGCCCCCUGAAGGAACCAUGUAGACUACGUGGUUGAUAGGUCAGGUGUGUAAGUACAGCAAUGUAUUGAGCUAACUGAUACUAAUGAUCCGUGCGGCUUGACCAU